rnacentral:rRNA from 1 species
UACGGGAGGCAGCAGUGGGGAAUAUUGCACAAUGGGCGCAAGCCUGAUGCAGCCAUGCCGCGUGUAUGAAGAAGGCCUUCGGGUUGUAAAGUACUUUCAGUCGUGAGGAAGGUGUUAAGGUUAAUAACCUUAGCAAUUGACGUUAGCGACAGAAGAAGCACCGGCUAACUCCGUGCCAGCAGCCGCGGUAAUACGGAGGGUGCGAGCGUUAAUCGGAAUUACUGGGCGUAAAGGGCACGCAGGCGGUUAAUUAAGUUGGAUGUGAAAUCCCCGGGCUUAACCUGGGAAUGGCAUUCAAGACUGGUUAGCUAGAGUCUUGUAGAGGGGGUAGAAUUCCAUGUGUAGCGGUGAAAUGCGUAGAGAUGUGGAGGAAUACCGGUGGCGAAGGCGGCCCCUGGGACAAAGGCUGACGCUCAUGUGCGAAAGCGUGGGGAGCAAACGAGGAUUAGAUACC